GGAUUAGAUACCCUGGUAGUCCACACCGUAAACGUUGGGCGCUAGGUGUGGGGUCCUUUCCACGGAUUCCGUGCCGUAGCUAACGCAUUAAGCGCCCCGCCUGGGGAGUACGGCCGCAAGGCUAAAACUCAAAGGAAUUGACGGGGGCCCGCACAAGCGGCGGAGCAUGCGGAUUAAUUCGAUGCAACGCGAAGAACCUUACCUGGGUUUGACAUACACCGGAAGCCUGCAGAGAUGUGGGUCUCUUUGAUACUGGUGUACAGGUGGUGCAUGGCUGUCGUCAGCUCGUGCUG
rnacentral:rRNA from 1 species